AUUGAACGCUGGCGGCAGGCCUAACACAUGCAAGUCGAGCGGCAGCGGGAAGGUAGCUUGCUACUUUUGCCGGCGAGCGGCGGACGGGUGAGUAAUGCCUGGGGAUCUGCCCAGUCGAGGGGGAUAACAGUUGGAAACGACUGCUAAUACCGCAUACGCCCUACGGGGGAAAGGAGGGGACCUUCGGGCCUUCCGCGAUUGGAUGAACCCAGGUGGGAUUAGCUAGUUGGUGGGGUAAUGGCUCACCAAGGCGACGAUCCCUAGCUGGUCUGAGAGGAUGAUCAGCCACACUGGAACUGAGACACGGUCCAGACUCCUACGGGAGGCAGCAGUGGGGAAUAUUGCACAAUGGGGGAAACCCUGAUGCAGCCAUGCCGCGUGUGUGAAGAAGGCCUUCGGGUUGUAAAGCACUUUCAGCGAGGAGGAAAGGUUGGCGCCUAAUACGUGUCAACUGUGACGUUACUCGCAGAAGAAGCACCGGCUAACUCCGUGCCAGCAGCCGCGGUAA
rnacentral:rRNA from 1 species